CAAAACAUGUCCUUUAGAAUUUAAUUUAAGGUCUGACCUGCCCACUGAAGAAUUAAAUGGCCGCAGUAUUUUAACUGUGCAAAGGUAGCAUAAUCAUUAGUCCUUUAAUUGGGGGCUUGUAUGAAUGGUUGGACGAGGCAUAAGUUGUUUCAUAAAAAUACAUUGAAUUUUAUUUUUUAGUCAAAAAGCUAAAAUUAUAUUAAAAGACGAGAAGACCCUAUAGAUCUUUAUAGUAAGCAUGUUAUUUUUAUAUAGUAAUUUUUGAAUGUAACCUGAUUUACUAUUUUGUUGGGGUGACAGUAAGAUUUAAUUUACUCUUAUAUAUUAUAAUACAAUAAUAAUUGAAUAUAUGAUCCGUUAUUGAUGAUUAUUAAAAUAAGUUACCUUAGGGAUAACAGCGUAAUUUUUUUAGAGAGUUCAUAUCGAUAAAAUAGAUUGCGACCUCGAUGUUGGAUUAAGAGAUAAUUUUGGGCGUAGCAGUUCAAAUUUUAAGUCUGUUCGACUUUUAAAUUCUUACAUGAUCUGAG
rnacentral:rRNA from 1 species